rnacentral:rRNA from 1 species
AUUGAACGCUGGCGGCAGGCCUAACACAUGCAAGUCGAGCGAGCGGCGGACGGGUGAGUAAUGUCUGGGAAACUGCCUGAUGGAGGGGGAUAACUACUGGAAACGGUGGCUAAUACCGCAUACCCUCGGAUGUGCCCAGAUGGGAUUAGCUAUUAGGUGGGGUAAUGGCUCACCUAGGCGCCGAUCCCUAGCUGGUCUGAGAGGAUGAUCAGCCACACUGGAACUGCGACACGGUCCAGACUCCUACGGGAGGCAGCAGUGGGGAAUAUUGCACAAUGGGCGAAAGCCUGAUGCAGCCAUGCCGCGUGUGUGAAGAAGGCCUUAGGGUUGUAAAGCACUUUCAGCGGGGAGGCGUUACCCGCAGAAGAAGCACCGGCUAACUCCGUGCCAGCAGCCGCGGUAAUAC